rnacentral:rRNA from 1 species
UGUCUCAGUUCGGAUCGGAGUCUGCAACCCGACUCCGUGAAGCUGGAUUCGCUAGUAAUCGCGCAUCAGCCAUGGCGCGGUGAAUACGUUCCCGGGCCUUGUACACACCGCCCGUCAAGCCAUGGAAGCCGGGAGUGCCUGAAGUAUGCAACCGCAAGGAGCGUCCUAAGGUAAAACCGGUGACUGGGGNUAAGUCGUAACAAGGUAAC